UGGUCAAUAUUUCAGCAAAAUAGAGAAUAAUAGCAUCUCCGAUUGGUUUUAUAUUGAGAUUUAUAUAGCUAAUUAUAAGAACAUCUUUAAAUACUGGGGAAAUCUCUUCACUGCCUGAGUAUCAGACAGAGAAGGGA